rnacentral:lncRNA from 1 species
AAAAAGGGUGGAGAAAGCAACAAAUCAGGAAACGUUUUCAUUCAAGAAAUUUGGCUGUGAAAAAGAAAAAGAAUAUUAGCUGGAUAAGAUAAGAGGUCAAUGAGAACAAAAGAAGAGGCCUAGAGCAAGUUUAAUAAAUGCGGAGAAGAAACCAACAAGAAAUGUAACCUACCUCCAGAACUCAGGAACUCAGGUACCCUUAAGGAUAUCAGAAACAAUGAAAUAUGGAUUGGCAGAAGCAUCUUCACUGCCAUCUUCAGAUGUAAUUAAUGCAGCUGUUGAAUUUGGUUGACUAUCCACCUAUAAUUACCACAUUGCCCAUUACAGAUUUUUGC